rnacentral:rRNA from 1 species
GAUGAACGCUGGCGGCGUGCCUAAUACAUGCAAGUCGAGCGAACGGACGAGAAGCUUGCUUCUCUGAUGUUAGCGGCGGACGGGUGAGUAACACGUGGAUAACCUACCUAUAAGACUGGGAUAACUUCGGGAAACCGGAGCUAAUACCGGAUGAUAUUUUGAACCGCAUGGUUCAAAAGUGAAAGACGGUCUUGCUGUCACUUAUAGAUGGAUCCGCGCUGCAUUAGCUAGUUGUUAAGGUAACGGCUUACCAAGGCAACGAUGCAUAGCCGACCUGAGAGGGUAACGGGCCAACCGGAAACGAGGACACGGCCCAGACCCAUACGGGAGGCAGCAGGAGGGAAUCUUCCGAAAGGGGCGAAAGCCUGACGGAGCAACGCCGCGUGAGUGAUGAAGUUCUUCGGAUCGUAAAACUCUUUUAUUAGGGAAAAACAGAUGUGUAAGUAACUGUGCACAUCUGAAGGGUACCUAAUCAGAAGACCACGGUUAACUACGU